ACUCCUACGGGAGGCAGCAGUGGGAAUAUUGCACAAUGGGCGCAAGCCUGAUGCAGCCAUGCCGCGUGUAUGAAGAAGGCCUUCGGGUUGUAAAGUACUUUCAGCAGUGAGGAAGGUAGUGUAGUUAAUAGCUGCAUUAUUUGACGUUAGCUGCAGAAGAAGCACCGGCUAACUACGUGCCAGCAGCCGCGGUAAUACGUAGGGUGCAAGCGUUGUCCGGAUUUAUUGGGUUUAAAGGGUGCGUAGGCGGGCUAUUAAGUCAGUGGUGAAAUCCAGCAGCUUAACUGUUGAUGUGCCAUUGAUACUGGUAGUCUUGAGUACAGAUGAGGUAGGCGGAAUUGACAGUGUAGCGGUGAAAUGCAUAGAUAUUGUCAAGAACUCCGAUAGCGAAGGCAGCUUACUGGGCUGUAACUGACGCUGAUGCACGAAAGUGUGGGAUCAAACAGGAUUAGAUACCCUGGUAGGCUCUG
rnacentral:rRNA from 1 species